UGGGGAAUAUUGCACAAUGGGCGCAAGCCUGAUGCAGCCAUGCCGCGUGUGUGAAGAAGGCCUUCGGGUUGUAAAGCACUUUCAGCGGGGAGGAAGGCGAUAAGGUUAAUAACCUUGUCGAUUGACGUUACCCGCAGAAGAAGCACCGGCUAACUCCGUGCCAGCAGCCGCGGUAAUACGGAGGGUGCAAGCGUUAAUCGGAAUUACUGGGCGUAAAGCGCACGCAGGCGGUCUGUCAAGUCGGAUGUGAAAUCCACGGGCUUAACCUGGGAACUGCAUUCGAAACUGGCAGGCUAGAGUCUUGUAGAGGGGGGUAGAAUUCCUGGUGGAGCGGUGGAAUGCGUAGAGAUCUGGUGGAAUACCGGUGGCGGAGGCGGCCCCCUGGACGAAGGCUGACGCUCCGGUGCGAAGGCGUGGGGAGCAAACAGG
rnacentral:rRNA from 1 species